rnacentral:rRNA from 1 species
UGUAACCCGAAUAAGAAGGUCCGGCUAACUUCGUGCCAGCAGCCGCGGUAAUACGAAGGGACCUAGCGUAGUUCGGAAUUACUGGGCUUAAAGAGUUCGUAGGUGGUUGAAAAAGUUAGUGGUGAAAUCCCAGAGCUUAACUCUGGAACUGCCAUUAAAACUUUUCAGCUAGAGUAUGAUAGAGGAAAGCAGAAUUUCUAGUGUAGAGGUGAAAUUCGUAGAUAUUAGAAAGAAUACCAAUUGCGAAGGCAGCUUUCUGGAUCAUUACUGACACUGAGGAACGAAAGCAUGGGUAGCGAAGAGGAUUAGAUACCCUCGUAGUCCAUGCCGUAAACGAUGUGUGUUAGACGUUGGAAAUUUAUUUUCAGUGUCGCAGGGAAACCGAUAAACACACCGCCUGGGGAGUACGACCGCAAGGUUAAAACUCAAAUGAAUUGACGGGGACCCGCACAAGUAGUGGAGCAUGUGGUUUAAUUCGAAGAUACGCGCAGAACCUUACCAACACUUGACAUGUUCGUCGCGACUCUAAGAGAUUAGAGUUUUCGGUUCGGCCGGACGAAACACAGGUGCUGCAUGGCUGUCGUCAGCUCGUGUCGUGAGAUGUUGGGUUAAGUCCCGCAACGAGCGCAACCCUCACUUUUAGUUGCCAUCAUUAAGUUGGGCACUCUGAAAGAACUGCCAGUGAUAAGCUGGAGGAAGGUGGGGAUGACGUCAAGUCCUCAUGGCCCUUACGUGUUGGGCUACACACGUGCUACAAUGGUAUCUACAACAGGAAGCAAGACUGCGAAGUUAAGCAAAUCCCUAAAAGAUACCUCAGUUCGGAUUGCACUCUGCAACUCGAGUGCAUGAAGCUGGAAUUACUAGUAAUCGUGGAUCAGCGUGCCACGGUGAAUGCGUUCCCGGGUCUUGUACACACCGCCCGUCACACCAUGGGAGUUGGUUCUACCUUAAGGCAAGGUUUCAAACCCUUGACCACGGUAUAGUCAGCGACUGGGGUGAAGUCGUAACAAGGUAGCCGUA